rnacentral:rRNA from 1 species
CCCUUAGAUGUUCUGGGCCGCACGCGCGCUACACUGACUGACUCAACGAGUUUACAACCUGUGCCGAAAGGUAUGGGUAAUCUUUUGAAAUUCAGUCGUGAUGGGGCUAGAUUAUUGCAACUAUUAAUCUUCAACGAGGAAUGCCUAGUAAGCGCGAAUCAUCAGUUCGCGUUGAUUACGUCCCUGCCCUUUGUACACACCGCCCGUCGCUCCUACCGAUUGAAUGGUCCGGUGAAGCGCUCGGACCGCGGCCUCUUGACGGUUUUCCGUCGAUUGGCUGUGGGAAGUUCGUUAAACCUUAUCAUUUAGAGGAAGGAGAANUCGUANCA